ensembl:lncRNA
AUUUGCCUUUGGAGUCAUUGUCAGGAGGACUGGCUUCUCAGAAAACCUGGUAGUGUCUAAUUGGAAAGGAAUGGAAUGUCAUUAUCUUUGUUUAAUACAUUAUACUUUCUUUUCAUGAACAAUAUCCCCUAGAUUUUUAGUGUGUUACUUAAAAUUAUGCUUAUGAUCUCUGUCAUAUUAUGGCUCCAGUUAAUCACAUAUCUACCAUUCUCUGCAAUAAGCAACCUUCAGAAUGGUUUAAUAGUUGGAGCUUACAGUAACUGACACUGUAGAUUGCAUGAACUCUGUGGGGCAUAAUCACUUCCUGUGUAUAUACGAACUCAAUAUGGAAAAGUCUUUUUUUUUUUUUUUUUUUUCCUAAGGACAACUGGAGAUUUUAUGCUUAUUUAUUUAUCUACAAAAGAACAGUCACCUAAUCCACUCAUAAUGCCAUGUUUAUGCUGGAAUGGCAUGAAAAAAAUAAUUAAAUCCCCAGAAGAACCCUCCUAAGAAUGUCCAUUCUGCUCAUAGAUGAGAGCAGCCCUAGAGAUAAAGAGAAUGGAGUGAAGAGCAUCAAAAAUGAGGAAAAUGGGUGUGGUGUUCUGCACCAACAAUAUAACACGAUUCGUUGUGCCCUGGCCUCAGGAGGAAAAAGAAGGUAUCAGAGAAGCUGUCACUCCGAAAGUGAGGGAAAAGGACUUCUGUCGAAUACUGAGAGUUCUUUUAAUAGUGGGAGCUUGAGUGCUUGUGUUGUGUGUGUGAGGAGCAAAGUACUUAAAUUCCAAGAUGUAUGGUGCAGCUUUCUGUCUUGAACUAUUCCGUUUAAAUGGAUGUAGCAGGAGAUCUAGAAAUCCAUGGUUUCCCUACCCCCUGACUGUCUGGUUACUGAAAUGGUUUUGUCUUGUAUUGAAUGACUGAAAAAGUGAUCUGUGUCAACCAUUACAACCAGUAUUGGUGACAUUUGGAAAAGUUUUAUUUGGGUUAAACAAAUUUCUGGAAUAGAAAAAGAAAUAGUAAAUAUGGCUAAGAGUUUGUGGGGUUGCCACAAACUGCAUAUGCUUAUGUAGAAAGAAAGUCUCUAAACAGAAUCUUUGGUUGGCAGACACUACUUUUACAUAGCCUUUCUCACCUAAUACACAGUAAUUGCACUAUUCUGUGUAGGCCUGCUGAUGUCAGUCAGAAGUCAUGAAAUUAUUCCCCUCAUCUUUUUUCUUCAGAAGUAUUUGCAUUUCAUUUUCUAAUCACAGUUGCUAGCUUGAGCUUUGAACAGGAAAAAAAAAAAAAAGACACAUGUUUUGAUGCUAGAAACAGUUUUGAUCUCAAAUUCAAACAAAACCUCUUGAGAAACUGCAUGAUAGCACAUCCAUGGGCUAAUCAGCAUCAGGUUGACCAGACUGGCUUUGACCUACUUCCUUGAUGAGUUCCUUGAUUAAAAGUUACUAAUGUAAAGAAUAAUGCACAGAAUAAUGCACCUGAAUAUCUGUAAUAUUUCAAAUUUGAAAAUAGCUAUAGUGGGUUAACGUAGAUGUAGGCUUCUGUGGGAGGUACUCGAGAGUUCGUGCACAGUGGUUGGAAUGUAAAAUAGAAAUUACUUGUCUUUUUAGGGAAUUAUGACUUUGGCUGUGAUUUAAUGUGUACUAGAGUUUUUGUGCCACUUAUGGGUCCCCUUUUAACAGGAUGACUUUUUUUCCCUUCAAUAAUAGAAAAUAAUCCUUCAUUUUAUAAUUUCUGAGAAAAGUGGAAUUAUUGGUUAAUCAAUUGAUAUCAAUGAAUUUGUGAAACUAUUCAGGAUUGAUCUAUGUUCUGACUGAAGAGCUACAGAACUUGUGUAGUUUUGCUUUUCUUAUUUAUUUCUUCCAGCCUCUCCAUCAUAUAAAUCUGACUGUUACACACCGUAAAUGAAAAAGUCUAAAAUUUGUGCAGCUGUUGUGUGGAAUUCUAAGAUUUUUGCAACUGUAUCAAAUGGAAGACUGUCUUUAAAUAGAGUUAAAAGGAAAAAAUCCUAAUGCAAAGGCUGGGCUGCAUGGCAUAUAGGCUAGUAUUGAAUUCUACUUUAUUGUUUCGUUUACUACUUCAGAAUUAAAGAUGGUUUUUAAAGUAAUUUCUGGGAUUUUUUAACUUCUUUUUUCUUGUUCUAUUAUAUUCUCUUCUUUAUCUUUCCUGUUUCUGAAGUGCACAUUUUUCCACUAGCAAAAAGAGCAAAGUGUUCUAAAAGCAGAAGUUUUUCAGAAAAAGCUUAGUGUGAAAAACUAUAGAAAUAUUUCAAUUCUUCUCAUUUUCCUUUUUUUUUUCCUCACUUUUUUUUUUUUUAAUCACCUCUAGUGAAUGUCAAAAUCACUGGUUUGUGACUUUUAAUUUUCAAUUUUCAAUUUGUGUGCCUGUAUUGUACUUUUUUUUGUUUGUUUUGUUUUGUUUUUCAUUUUUUAAGAGUGCAUAUAUCCUUUUAAGAAAUACACAGGUUUCUGUACCAUUUGAGAUUACUUUGCAUAAUCACUUCCUACAGAACAAAAGGUGCUGACUCUCAAUAGCAGUUGUACCUAAUACUGAAAACAUUUUUUGUCACUGGUAGAUGCAUGAGAUCACUUGUGGGAUGUGCUCCUGUGUAUCAGAGAUUUUCUCCUCUAUCUGAAAAACAGACUUUUUGCUUCUCACCACCUCUUUGUGGUGAGCAGGACUGUUGCUCUGUUCAGGUAAUAUCUGGAGCUGGGUACUGGUUUUCCAUUUAGUGAAGAGAAUUUACUUGCAGAGAGAAAAGGUUUUGAGCCUUCAUUGAUAAAAAAAUAAGCUAUAUCUAUGCGAAGUAUGAACAGUCUUAAUAAAGUUCUAGAUUUGUGUAUUGAAAAUCUGAUA